AUUGAACGCUGGCGGCAUGCCUUACACAUGCAAGUCGAACGGUAGAGGGGCAACCCUCGAGAGUGGCGAACGGGUGAGGAAUGAAUCGGAACGUGCCCAGUCGUGGGGGAUAACACUUCGAAAGAAGUGCUAAUACAGCAUACCACCUGAGGGUGAAAGCGGGGGACCGCAAGGCCGCGCGCGAUUGGAGCGGCCGAUGUCAGAUUAGGUAGUUGGGGGGGUAAAGGCCCACCAAGCCGACGAUCUGUAGCUGGUCUGAGAGGACGACCAGCAACACUGGGACUGAGACGCGGCCCAGACUCCUACGGGAGGCAGCAGUGGGGAAUUUUGGACAAUGGGCGCAAGCCUGAUCCAGCCAUGCCGCGUGCGGGAAGAAGGCCUUCGGGUUGUAAACCGCUUUUGUCAGGGAAGAAACGCUCCGGGCUAAUACCCUGGGGUAAUGACGGUACCUGAAGAAUAAGCACCGGCUAACUACGUGCCAGCCGCCGCAGUAAGAC
rnacentral:rRNA from 1 species